UGGCCUACCAAGGCGACGACGGGUAGCCGGCCUGAGAGGGCGACCGGCCACACUGGGACUGAGACACGGCCCAGACUCCUACGGGAGGCAGCAGUGGGGAAUAUUGCACAAUGGGCGGAAGCCUGAUGCAGCGACGCCGCGUGAGGGAUGACGGCCUUCGGGUUGUAAACCUCUUUCAGCAGGGACGAAGCGAGAGUGACGGUACCUGCAGAAGAAGCACCGGCCAACUACGUGCCAGCAGCCGCGGUAAGACGUAGGGUGCGAGCGUUGUCCGGAUUUAUUGGGCGUAAAGAGCUCGUAGGCGGCUUGUCGCGUCGACCGUGAAAACUUGGGGCUCAACCCCAAGCCUGCGGUCGAUACGGGCAGGCUAGAGUUCGGUAGGGGAGACUGGAAUUCCUGGUGUAGCGGUGAAAUGCGCAGAUAUCAGGAGGAACACCGGUGGCGAAGGCGGGUCUCUGGGCCGAUACUGACGCUGAGGAGCGAAAGCGUGGGGAGCGAACAGGAUUAGAUACCCUGGUAGUCCACGCUGUAAACGUUGGGCGCUAGGUGUGGGGGGCCUCUCCGGUUCCCUGUGCCGCAGCUAACGCAUUAAGCGCCCCGCCUGGGGAGUACGG
rnacentral:rRNA from 1 species